GACGAACGCUGGCGGCGUGCCUAAUACAUGCAAGUCGAGCGAAGCGGGGACGGGUGAGUAACACGUGGAUAACCUCCCAUAAGACUGGGAAAAAUUCGGGAAACCGGAGCUAAACCGGAUACUUAUAGAUGGAUGCGGGCUGGAUUAGCUGGUGGGUAAGGUAACGGCUUACCAAGGCAACGAUGCAUAGCCGACCUGAGAGGGUGAUCAGCCACACUGGGACUGAGACACGGCCCAGACUCCUACGGGAGGCAGCAGUGGGGAAUAUUGCACAAUGGGCGCAAGCCGGAUGCAGCCAUGCCGCGUGUGUGAAGAAGGCCUUAGGGUUGUAAAGUACUUUCAGCGGGGAGGCGUUACCCGCAGAAGAAGCACCGGCUAACUCCGUGCCAGCAGCCGCGGUAAUUC
rnacentral:rRNA from 1 species